rnacentral:rRNA from 1 species
AGUGAACGCUGGCGGUAGGCCUAACACAUGCAGGUCGAACGGCAGCACAGUAAGAUCUUGCUCUUACGGGUGGCGAGUGGCGGACGGGUGAGGAAUACAUCGGAAUCUACUUUUUCGUGGGUGAUAACGUAGGGAAACUUACGCUAAUACCUCAUACGACCUACGGGUGAAAGCAGUGGAUCUUCGGACCUUGCGCGAUUGAAUGAGCCGAUGUCGGAUUAGCUAGUUGGCGUGGUAAAGGCCCACCAAGGCGACGAUCCGUAGCUGGUCUGAGAGGAUGAUCAGCCACACUGGAACUGAGACACGGUCCAGACUCCUACGGGAGGCAGCAGUGGGGAAUAUUGGACAAUGGGCGAAAGCCUGAUCCAGCCAUACCGCGUGGGUGAAGAAGGCCUUCGGGUUGUAAAGCCCUUUUGUUGGGAAAGAAAAGCAGCAGGUUAAUACCCCGCUGUUCUGACGGUACCCAAAGAAUAAGCACCGGCUAACUUCGUG